rnacentral:rRNA from 1 species
UACGUACGAGGCGAGCGUUAUCCGGAAUUACUGGGCGUAAAGCGCGCGCAGGUGGUUCGUUAAGUAGGGCGUGAAAUCUCCCGGCCUAACUGGGAGGGGUCGCCCCUAGACUGGCGGACUUGAGGCUGGCAGAGGUAGGUGGAAUUCCUGGUGUAGUGGUGGAAUGCGUAGAGAUCCGGAAGAACACCGGUGGCGAAGGCGGUCUGCUGGGCCAAGACUGACGCUGAGGCGCGACAGCGUGGGGAGCAGA